GCUCAGAUUGAACGCUGGCGGCAGGCCUAACACAUGCAAGUCGAGCGGUAGCACAGAGAGCUUGCUCUCGGGUGACGAGCGGCGGACGGGUGAGUAAUGUCUGGGAAACUGCCUGAUGGAGGGGGAUAACUACUGGAAACGGUAGCUAAUACCGCAUAAUGUCGCAAGACCAAAGUGGGGGACCUUCGGGCCUCAUGCCAUCAGAUGUGCCCAGAUGGGAUUAGCUAGUAGGUGGGGUAACGGCUCACCUAGGCGACGAUCCCUAGCUGGUCUGAGAGGAUGACCAGCCACACUGGAACUGAGACACGGUCCAGACUCCUACGGGAGGCAGCAGUGGGGAAUAUUGCACAAUGGGCGCAAGCCUGAUGCAGCCAUGCCGCGUGUGUGAAGAAGGCCUUCGGGUUGUAAAGCACUUUCAGCGGGGAGGAAGGCGAUAAGGUUAAUAACCUUGUCGAUUGACGUUACCCGCAGAAGAAGCACCGGCUAACUCCGUGCCAGCAGCCGCGGUAAUACGGAGGGUGCAAGCGUUAAUCGGAAUUACUGGGCGUAAAGCGCACGCAGGCGGUCUGUCAAGUCGGAUGUGAAAUCCCCGGGCUCAACCUGGGAACUGCAUUCGAAACUGGCAGGCUAGAGUCUUGUAGAGGGGGGUAGAAUUCCAGGUGUAGCGGUGAAAUGCGUAGAGAUCUGGAGGAAUACCGGUGGCGAAGGCGGCCCCCUGGACAAAGACUGACGCUCAGGUGCGAAAGCGUGGGGAGCAAACAGGAUUAGAUACCCUGGUAGUCCACGCCGUAAACGAUGUCGAUUUGGAGGUUGUGCCCUUGAGGCGUGGCUUCCGGAGCUAACGCGUUAAAUCGACCGCCUGGGGAGUACGGCCGCAAGGUUAAAACUCAAAUGAAUUGACGGGGGCCCGCACAAGCGGUGGAGCAUGUGGUUUAAUUCGAUGCAACGCGAAGAACCUUACCUGGUCUUGACAUCCACAGAACUUAGCAGAGAUGCUUUGGUGCCUUCGGGAACUGUGAGACAGGUGCUGCAUGGCUGUCGUCAGCUCGUGUUGUGAAAUGUUGGGUUAAGUCCCGCAACGAGCGCAACCCUUAUCCUUUGUUGCCAGCGGUCCGGCCGGGAACUCAAAGGAGACUGCCAGUGAUAAACUGGAGGAAGGUGGGGAUGACGUCAAGUCAUCAUGGCCCUUACGACCAGGGCUACACACGUGCUACAAUGGCAUAUACAAAGAGAAGCGACCUCGCGAGAGCAAGCGGACCUCAUAAAGUAUGUCGUAGUCCGGAUUGGAGUCUGCAACUCGACUCCAUGAAGUCGGAAUCGCUAGUAAUCGUAGAUCAGAAUGCUACGGUGAAUACGUUCCCGGGCCUUGUACACACCGCCCGUCACACCAUGGGAGUGGGUUGCAAAAGAAGUAGGUAGCUUAACCUUCGGGAGGGCGCUUACCACUUUGUGAUUCAUGACUGGGGUGAAGUCGU
rnacentral:rRNA from 1 species